CAGCCGCCGCGGUAAUACGGAGGGUGCAAGCGUUAUCCGGAUUUAUUGGGUUUAAAGGGUCCGUAGGCGGACUUAUAAGUCAGUGGUGAAAGCCUGUCGCUUAACGAUAGAACUGCCAUUGAUACUGUAAGUCUUGAGUAUAUUUGAGGUAGCUGGAAUAAGUAGUGUAGCGGUGAAAUGCAUAGAUAUUACUUAGAACACCAAUUGCGAAGGCAGGUUACCAAGAUAUAACUGACGCUGAGGGACGAAAGCGUGGGUAGCGAACAGGAUUAGAUACCCGUGUAGUCCCUGUCUCUUAUAC
rnacentral:rRNA from 1 species